rnacentral:rRNA from 1 species
CAGUUAUCGUUCAUUUGAUAGUACCUUACUACUUGGAUACCUGUGGUAAUUCUAGAGCUAAUACAUGCUAAAAACCUCAACUUCGGAAGGGGUGUAUUUAUUAGAUAAAAAACCAAUGCCCUUCGGGGCUCCUUGGUGAUUCAUAAUAACUUCACGAAUCGCAUGGCCUUGAGCCGGCGAUGGUUCAUUCAAAUUUCUGCCCUAUCAACUUUCGAUGGUAGUAUAGAGGACUACCAUGGUUUCUACGGGUAACGGGGAAUUAGGGUUCUAUUCCGGAGAGGGAGCCUGAGAAACGGCUACCACAUCCAAGGAAGGCAGCAGGCGCGCAAAUUACCCAAUCCCGACACGGGGAGGUAGUGACAAUAAAUACUGAUCCAGGGCUCUUUUGGGUCUUGGAAUUGGAAUGAGUACAAUUUAAAUCCCUUAACGAGGAACAAUUGGAGGGCAAGUCUGGUGCCAGCAGCCGCGGUAAUUCCAGCUCCAAUAGCGUAUAUUAAAGUUGUUGCAGUUAAAAAGCUCGUAGUUGAAACUUGGGCCUGGCUGACCGGUCCGCCUCACCGCGUGCACUGGCUCGGCCGGGCCUUUCCUUCUGGGGAACCGCAUGGCCUUCAUUGGUCGUGUUGGGGAUCCAGGACUUUUACUUUGAAAAAAUUAGAGUGUUCAAAGCAGGCCUAUGCUCGAAUACAUUAGCAUGGAAUAAUAGAAUAGGACGUGUGGUUCUAUUUUGUUGGUUUCUAGGACCGCCGUAAUGAUUAAUAGGGAUAGUCGGGGGCAUCAGUAUUCAAUUGUCAGAGGUGAAAUUCUUGGAUUUAUUGAAGACUAACUACUGCGAAAGCAUUUGCCAAGGAUGUUUUCAUUAAUCAGUGAACGAAAGUUAGGGGAUCGAAGACGAUUGUAUUUGGUCGUCCAUAGUGAGCGCAGCAUCAUCUAGUUGGGGGCCUUCCCGGAGGGAAGUGCCCCUGGCCACAUCACCAAACUGAUGGGGCUCCCCCGCCGUUUCCGGUGGGCUGAAACCCACAGCCAAGCUCUUCGGAGUGCAGUCUACAGACUGAAUGUUGAUGGGCGGGCCUCGAAGGGCCUGUUUCUAAUAUAGCCGAGUCCCCUGGGAGUUUUCUUCUGGGGGUGUUUUACGCAGAUACCGUCGUAGUCUUAACCAUAAACUAUGCCGACUGGGGAUCGGACGGUGUUAUUAUUUUGACCCGUUCGGCACCCUACGAGAAAUCAAAGUCUUUGGGUUCUGGGGGGAGUAUGGUCGCAAGGCUGAAACUUAAAGAUAUUGACGGAAGGGCACCACCAGGAAGCUCAAACGCCUGGUUAUAAUAUAUUAUAUAGGGAAAAUAAUAGUGAUAUUAGCCCCCCGACCCCGGGGUGGUGAGGCCUUUGAAUUGCGUGGACUGUCUUAGCCGCUUCGGCGAGACGUACCCGCAGCCGACCCCUCAGACGAGGGGCUUCGGUCCACAGAUCAAGUGGUGGCCGGUGGUACCGUCAGGGGACCACUUAUGAUAUGAUCGACCCCUAAGCAACAAGCUUAGGGAUUCAGUGCGUGGAGCCUGCGGCUUAAUUUGACUCAACACGGGGAAACUCACCAGGUCCAGACACAAUAAGGAUUGACAGAUUGAGAGCUCUUUCUUGAUUUUGUGGGUGGUGGUGCAUGGCCGUUCUUAGUUGGUGGAGUGAUUUGUCUGCUUAAUUGCGAUAACGAACGAGACCUUAACCUGCUAAAUAGCCAGGUCAGCUUUGGCUGGCCGCCGGCUUCUUAGAGGGACUAUCGGCUCAAGCCGAUGGAAGUUUGAGGCAAUAACAGGUCUGUGAUGCCCUUAGAUGCUCUGGGCCGCACGCGCGCUACACUGACAGAGACAACGAGUUCAUCUCCUUGACCGGAAGGUUUGGGUAAUCUUGUUAAACUCUGUCGUGCUGGGGAUAGAGCAUUGCAAUUAUUGCUCUUCAACGAGGAAUGCCUAGUAAGCGCGAGUCAUCAGCUCGCGUUGAUUACGUCCCUGCCCUUUCCCACGAUUGCAAAUUGUAUAAGGGGCUGACAGAAAUUCUAAGCUGGGUUAUAUUGAUAAUGACCAGUUAAUGCCUUCUAAGUGCGUGGAAGCUCACCGAGUUACCCGCAGCCAAAUCCUUAGUUCGAAAGGAUGCAGUUCACAGACUAACUGAAGGCGGGCCCUCUUAUUCAAGAGAAGCCUAAAUUAUAGUCGAUCUACCCUGUCACCAGGGAUAGGAAAAUGUUGUACACACCGCCCGUCGCUACUACCGAUUGAAUGGCUCAGUGAGGCCUUCGGACUGGCCCAGAGAGGUCGGCAACGACCACUCCGGGCCGGAAAGUUGGUCAAACUUGGUCAUUUAGAGGAAGUAAAA